UGGAGUGCAGCUCAGGGGUAGAGUGCUUAACCAGAAUAAUGAGGUUCUGAGUUCAAUCCCCAGCAAAACAA
rnacentral:tRNA from 1 species